rnacentral:rRNA from 1 species
AAGUCGUAACAAGGUUUCCGUAGAUGAACCUGCGGAAGGAUCAUUAUCGUAAAACCGAGGUGCGAGGGCUGUCGCUGACCUUUUCGGUCGUGCACGCCCGAGUGCUCUCACACAAUCCAUCUCACCCCUUGUGCACCACCGCGUGGGUCCCUCUCCGGCUCCUCCGGAGGGGGGCUCGCGUUUUCACACAAACUUGAAGUAGUGUAGAAUGUCCUUUUUUGCGAUAACACGCAAUCAAUACAACUUUCAACAACGGAUCUCUUGGCUCUCGCAUCGAUGAAGAACGCAGCGAAAUGCGAUACGUAAUGUGAAUUGCAGAAUUCAGUGAAUCAUCGAAUCUUUGAACGCACCUUGCGCCCCUUGGCAUUCCGAGGGGCACACCCGUUUGAGUGUCGUGAAAUUCUCAAAACCCUUUCUCUUGGUCAUUUUCGACCAUCGAAAGGAUUUUGGACUUGGAGGCCUUUUUGCUGGUUUCACCUUGAAGCGAGCUCCUCCCAAACGUAUUAGUGGGGUCUGCAUUGUCGGUCCUUGGCGUGAUAAGUUGUUUCUACGUCUUGGAUUUUUGGCGCUGUACACCUGCUUCUAACCGUCUCAUUGACAACGAUGGUGUUCCGGUCGCCGCCGAUUUUUCGGUGGGGGGCUUGGACCCACGAAACAAACCUUGACCUCAAAUCGGGUGAGUCUACCCGCUGAACUUAAGCAUAUCAAUAAGCGGAGGAAAAGAAACUAACAAGGAUUCCCCUAGUAACUGCGAGUGAAGCGGGAAAAGCUCAAAUUUAAAAUCUGGUGGCCUCUGGUCAUCCGAGUUGUAAUUUAGAGAAGCGUCUUCCGCGCUGGACCGUGCACAAGUCUCCUGGAAUGGAGCGUCAUAGAGGGUGAGAAUCCCGUCUUUGGCACGGAUCCCGGGGCUUUUGUGAUGCGCUCUCGAAGAGUCGAGUUGUUUGGGAAUGCAGCUCAAAAUGGGUGGUGAACUCCAUCUAAAGCUAAAUAUUGGCGAGAGACCGAUAGCGAACAAGUACCGUGAGGGAAAGAUGAAAAGCACUUUGGAAAGAGAGUGAAACAGUACGUGAAAUUGUUGAAAGGGAAACGCUUGAAGUCAGUCGCGUCGUCCGAGACUCAGCCUCGCCUCGGCUUGGUGUACUUCUCGACCGACGGGUCAGCAUCAAUUUUGCCCCUUGGAUAAUGGCGUGGGAAAUGUGGCACCUUUGCGGGUGCGUUAUAGUCCCUCGUCGCAUGCAAGGGUCGGGAUUGAGGAACUCAGCACGCGCCUUUCGGCGUCGGGGCCUUUGCCCACGAUACGUGCUUAGGAUGUUGGCGUAAUGGCUUUAAACGACC